rnacentral:tRNA from 5 species
GCGGGUGUAGUACAGUGGCAGUACAAUAGCUUCCCAAGCUAUGGACGGGAGUUCGAUUCUCCUCACCCGCU